rnacentral:rRNA from 1 species
GACGAACGCUGGCGGCGUGCCUAAUACAUGCAAGUCGAACGCUGAAGGAGGAGCUUGCUUCUCUGGAUGAGUUGCGAACGGGUGAGUAACGCGUAGGUAACCUGCCUUGUAGCGGGGGAUAACUAUUGGAAACGAUAGCUAAUACCGCAUAAUAGCAGUUGUUGCAUGAUAACUGUUUGAAAGGUGCAAUUGCACCACUACCAGAUGGACCUGCGUUGUAUUAGCUAGUUGGUGGGGUAACGGCUCACCAAGGCGACGAUACAUAGCCGACCUGAGAGGGGGAGCGGCCACACUGGGACGGGGACACGGCCCAGACGCCUACGGGAGGCAGCAGGAGGGAAUCUGGGGGAAGGGACGGAAGUCUGAGCGAGCAAGGCCGCGGGAGGGAAGAAGGUUGUCGGAUCGUAAAGCUCGGUUGUAAGAGAAGAACGAGGGUGAGAGUGGAAAGUUCACACUGUGACGGUAACUGACCAGAAAGGGACGGCUAACUACGUG